GACGAACCGUCCAAACGUUAUUCGGAAUUACUGGGCUUAAAGGGUGCGUAGGCGGCACGGUAAGUUGGGUGUGAAAUCCCUCGGCUCAACCGAGGAACUGCGCCCAAAACUACCGUGCUUGAGGGAGAUAGAGGUGAGCGGAACUUAGGGUGGAGCGGUGAAAUGCGUUGAUAUCCUAAGGAACACCGGUGGCGAAAGCGGCUCACUGGAUCUCUUCUGACGCUGAGGCACGAAAGCUAGGGUAGCGAACGGG
rnacentral:rRNA from 1 species